rnacentral:tRNA from 1 species
GGGCUGGGGCUCAGUGGUAGAGCGCUCGCCUAGCAUGUACGAAAUGCUGGGUUUGAUCCUCAGCACCACA